AACGAACGCUGGCGGCAGGCUUAACACAUGCAAGUCGAACGCCCCGCAAGGGGAGUGGCAGACGGGUGAGUAACGCGUGGGAAUGUGCCCCAAGGUACGGAACAACACCGGGAAACUGGUGCUAAUACCGUAUGUGACCGAGAGGUGAAAGAUUUAUCGCCUUGGGAUCAGCCCGCGUUAGAUUAGCUAGUUGGUGAGGUAAUGGCUCACCAAGGCUACGAUCUAUAGCUGGUCUGAGAGGAUGAUCAGCCACACUGGGACUGAGACACGGCCCAGACUCCUACGGGAGGCAGCAGUGGGGAAUCUUGGACAAUGGGCGCCAGCCUGAUCCAGCCAUGCCGCGUGAAUGAUGAAGGCCUUAGGGUUGUAAAGUUCUUUCGUCGGGGACGAUAAUGACGGUACCCGAAGAAGAAGCCCCGGCUAACUUCGUGCCAGCAGCCGCCGUAA
rnacentral:rRNA from 1 species